rnacentral:lncRNA from 1 species
CCAGCAUCGAGGCUGAAGUGGGAGGAUCACUUGAGUCUAGGAGUUCAAGAUUAGCCUGGGUAUACAGUGAGACCCCUGUCUCCACAAAAAACAACAACAAAAAAUUAGCUAGGCGUGGUGUGCACCUGUAUCCCAGCUACUUGGGAGGCUGAGGCAGGAGGAUCGCUUGAGCCCAGGAGGUCAAGGCUGCAGUGAGCCGUGAUGGUACCACUGCACUCCAGCCUGGCUAACAGAGUGAGACGCUGCCUCUGAAAUUUUUUUAAAUAAUAAUAAUGUAUCAAUAUUGUAUUGAUUCAUUAAUCAUAACAAAUGUGCCCCCGUCAGGGAAGAGAUGGUGACAGCAGCACCUGAGCAGGUGGCGCCUGAGUGGUGACCUUCAAACGGCAUUAACCACUGAGCACAGCCCCACACAUUCAAACCCUCACAGCCGGACCUUCUGGGCUGUGUGGCCGGUUCACAGAUGGGGAACCUCAGGCUCAAGUGUGUCUCUACCCAGCCCAGAAUCUGGAGACAAAACACAGACGUCAAAGGCAGAAAAGACCUGCCCAUGUGAAAAUGGGGGAGACGCCUGGCCCCACUGGGCUCGCAUGACGGCCAAGUACGCUCAACACCUCACUCCCCUCAGGCUGCAGAAGAGGCCCAGAGAAGGACAAGCAUUCUCCCAAGGUCACACAGAGAGUUGCUGGCAGGCAGAGCCACCAUCCCACCCCAGCCCAGGCCUCCUUCCGCCACAUCCCAGAAUGUUUGUGAGAAAAGAUGAAAGGAGGCUGGGCCCUUGAUCUGCCUGGCCUGAUGGGAGGGCAGAGGGCAGCCGGAAAUCUGCAGCUAGAGCUGUGACCCCACAGUCCACAGGGGGUGAGAAACCUGCCGCACAGAGAGGAGACGGUCACGACAGGAGGGCUGAAAGAAUCAUUGUAAAAAUAAUCACCAUGGCUCACAGUCCUGGUGCAAGGAGUUUCCUGAGCAGGGAAUCGCUUCCAGGGACUCUGGAUGUAGCAUCUAGUUCAUUCUUCACAACGCAACAAGGGAAACUUAGGACCAGAGAAUAGAAGUGACUUGCCCAAACUCAAACUGCAAGUUUAUGACAGAGCCUGGACUAAGAUCAAGCUUUCUCAAUGUCACAAGAAUUCAGUAACAGCCUACUGUAUACAAGGCACCAGCCUAGGUCCUCAUCAUGGUGAAGGCUGGUGGGGAGGUUCAAAGAUUUGUCCAUGGGUCAACACCUCCCCAAGGCCAGGUCUCCAGGGACACAGACUCUGCCCUUUGAAGGCUCCAAGCCAGAAGAGGAAACAGACCCUGAAACACUAUGAGCAGGAGGGCCAGAGAGCGACACACUUUGGUAUCCAGGAGACCCAGCCCCACUGCCUGCAACCCUGCAACCUCCCUGUGCCCCACUGAGCUGCUCAGUAAAAUGGAACUAAGGAUGGUGCCAACUGUCAGUGAUGCUGAGAGGUACAACAAGGAGGUGAAAUGUGAGACCCUGUGCAUUGUGGACACCCAAUAAACAGUGAUUCUUUUUAUUUUUAAGU